rnacentral:rRNA from 1 species
AUUGAACGCUGGCGGCAUGCUUUACACAUGCAAGUCGAACGGUAACAGGCCGCAAGGUGCUGACGAGUGGCGAACGGGUGAGUAAUGCAUCGGAACGUGCCCAGUCGUGGGGGAUAACGCAGCGAAAGCUGUGCUAAUACCGCAUACGAUCUGUGGAUGAAAGCGGGGGACCGUAAGGCCUCGCGCGAUUGGAGCGGCCGAUGUCAGAUUAGGGAGUUGGUGGGGUAAAGGCUCACCAAGCCGACGAUCUGUAUCUGUGCUGAGAGUACGACCAGCCACACUGGGACUGAGACACGGACCAGACGCCUACGGGAGGCAGAAGUGGGGAAUUUUGGAAAAUGGGCGCAAGCCUGAUCCAGCAAUGCCGCGUGCAGGAAGAAGGCCUUCGGGUUGUAAACUGCUUUUGUACGGAGCGAAAAGGCUCUCUCUAAUACAGGGGGUUCAUGACGGUACCGUAAGAAUAAGCACCGGCUAACUACGUGCCAGCCGCCGCAGUAACAC